rnacentral:rRNA from 1 species
AUUGAACGCUGGCGGCAUGCCUUACACAUGCAAGUCGAACGGUAACAGGUCUUCGGAUGCUGACGAGUGGCGAACGGGUGAGUAAUACAUCGGAACGUGCCCGAUCGUGGGGGAUAACGGAGCGAAAGCUUUGCUAAUACCGCAUACGAUCUACGGAUGAAAGCAGGGGACCGCAAGGCCUUGCGCGGACGGAGCGGCCGAUGGCAGAUUAGGUAGUUGGUGGGAUAAAAGCUUACCAAGCCGACGAUCUGUAGCUGGUCUGAGAGGACGACCAGCCACACUGGGACUGAGACACGGCCCAGACGCCUACGGGAGGCAGCAGUGGGGAAUUUUGGACAAUGGGCGCAAGCCUGAUCCAGCCAUGCCGCGUGCAGGAUGAAGGCCUUCGGGUUGUAAACUGCUUUUGUACGGAACGAAACGGCCUGGGUUAAUACCCUGGGCUAAUGACGGUACCGUAAGAAUAAGCACCGGCUAACUACGUGCCAGCCGCCGCAGUAAUAC